rnacentral:misc_RNA from 1 species
GGGAGAUCAGAUCGAGCUCGUAGGCUCACGAAUUCCAAGCAUAUAACAACAACUACAAUCUUUUUCACCACGACGGCCCGGAUCUCACUACUUACUUACCGCUGCUAAAACGCAACGCCCAUGUCUUCUUGGAUCAGUUGGUGGCGGCGGCGUCGGCCUCGUCGGCGGCGGCGGCGUCCUUCUUCUCCGGCUCCGGGGGCGCCGGGUUGAGCUGGAAGGCGGUGACGGGGAGGGCGCG